rnacentral:rRNA from 1 species
ACUCCUACGGGAGGCAGCAGUGGGGAAUUUUGGACAAUGGGCGAAAGCCUGAUCCAGCAAUGCCGCGUGUGUGAAGAAGGCCUUCGGGUUGUAAAGCACUUUUGUCCGGAAAGAAAUCCUUGGCUCUAAUACAGUCGGGGGAUGACGGUACCGGAAGAAUAAGCACCGGCUAACUACGUGCCAGCAGCCGCGGUAAUACGUAGGGUGCGAGCGUUAAUCGGAAUUACUGGGCGUAAAGCGUGCGCAGGCGGUUUGCUAAGACCGAUGUGAAAUCCCCGGGCUCAACCUGGGAACUGCAUUGGUGACUGGCAGGCUAGAGUAUGGCAGAGGGGGGUAGAAUUCCACGUGUAGCAGUGAAAUGCGUAGGGAUGUGGAGGAAUACCGAUGGCGAAGGCAGCCCCCUGGGCCAAUACUGACGCUCAUGCACGAAAGCGUGGGGAGCAAACAGGAUUAGAAACCCCAGUAGUCCC